AGUUCAUUAUGUUGGACAGGGCGCGUCUGCGCCUCCGGCCGCCGCGGCUCCCGGGGCCUCCGCCUGCAGCCGGCGGCGGAACGAGGGCAGGCGGCUGAGACAGGCGAGCUAUUUGCAUUCCCCGGCAGUCAUUUUUAUAUGCGGAGGUAAUGAAGUUGUCAGCGGCGCCCCGAGUGUGGCAGAGCCUGAUAUUCAAAUCGCCCUGCCCGCUCCGCCUGCUCCCGCCCGCUGGUCCCGGGAGCCCCAGGCUGCGCGCGCCCGCACCGCAUCGCCGCUUUGCCCCGCGACCGCGCGCGCCUCCUCGUCCUCCCCCGCGCCUUUGUUUCCGUCUCCUUCUCCUUUCCCUCCUCUUUUGUGUCGGGCCAGACUCAGCCCCAGAAACCAGCCACCCUGCCGCGUCCGACUGCCAGGGAUCCCUCACGCCGCGAGUACCAGAGAUGUCUCCAAGAGCACCAGCAACCCCAGCUAUCUGGAUCUGAAGUGGAUAUGCUCAGAGACAUCCUGGCCCACCCCAAAGAAGAUGCUGCUGCACUCAGAAGACGCCAGAGCUAGCCACCACCCACACUGCAAGUCUGGAAGCUCUGCAAGGACCCAGCAAGGCAGCCUGCUCAGCGAAGGCUUUGUCUCCUGUGGCAGGAAGAGCAACAUUAAGAACAAGAACCCCGGGCUGGACUACCCCUGAGAUUUAAUGACCAGAGCUGAGACCCCCAAGACCACAAUGACUAUGGAGGGCUGUCAUUACCCUGCCUGACCCUCUAAUGCCUCUCAGUUCAAGGAGGCCACUGAGUGAAACUGAAGGCUGGUUUUCCUUGGAAGCCAGCGGCCCAUCCACCUGCUCCACUUCCCUGCCUCUUGCAGCCUCCGCUCAAACACUGUCGUGGCUUGGCAGCACUACAAGUAUUUCAGGGGCUGCCAAGCUGCUCUCCUGUUUCCUCUUCCUUGGGGCUGAUUGCAUCCCAUGAUGUGCCCAGGUUUUGAGAUGCUCCUCGUGAAUGAAAAUAGGACUGUCUGGUUCCUCCAUCCAUAGCAAGGGAGCCUAGACAGAAAUAACUUCUGUGCAUUUCUCCAGCUACAUUUAGGUAA
rnacentral:lncRNA from 1 species